AGGACGAACGCUGGCGGCGCGCUUAACACAUGCAAGUCGAGCGAGAACCAGUCCUUCGGGACUGGGGACAGCGGCGAACGGGUGAGUAACACGUGGGUAAUCUGCCCUCGAUUCUGGGAUAGCCCGGGGAAACCCGGAUUAAUACCGGAUAGCCUCUCGAGCUUACGAGCUCGUGAGAAAAGGUAGCUUCGGCCUCCGAUCGAGGAUGAGCCCGCGGCGGAUUAGCUUGUUGGUGGGGUAAUGGCCUACCAAGGCGACGAUCCGUAGCUGGUCUGAGAGGACGAUCAGCCACACUGGGACUGAGACACGGCCCAGACUCCUACGGGAGGCAGCAGUGGGGAAUCUUGCGCAAUGGGCGAAAGCCUGACGCAGCGACGCCGCGUGGGGGAAGAAGGCCUUCGGGUUGUAAACCUCUUUCAGCAGGACGAAGCCACUCGGUUAAUAGCCCAGAGGUGACGGUACUGCAGAAGAAGCCCGGCUAACGACGUGCCAGCGAGCCGCGUAACUCGUA
rnacentral:rRNA from 1 species